rnacentral:rRNA from 1 species
ACAUCUGAGCGGUGGAUCACUCGGCUCGUGCGUCGAUUGAAGAGCGCAGCCACUGCGUGAAUUAGUGUGAAUGCAGAUAUGGAACAUCGACAUCUUGAACGCAAUAUUCGCCUCGAGGUCUACCCCUGUGGCCACGCCGGCCUGAGGGUCG